UGGUUCUUUCUAGCUCAAUUCUCGUGGUUACAUUCGAGUUUCUGAUAACUCUCAUCGUAGCAACCUUUGCUCACCAUGGGUAAAGUCCCCAGGCCGAGGACAGAAAGUGUCAGGAUCUAAAACUUUGGUCCCUAUUGCAUGGUCACGUCAAAACUGACCCGUUGCAAACAUGCCAAAUCGCAAUAAAGUUAUGUCUGAGAGUGUCCGGGGAGCAGGGAGACGGCGACAGUGGCGACACGUGUCAGUUUGUCAGGUUCUAUUCCGGGACACAACACAAUGGGGCUUACUAAGAGGGAACU
rfam:Aedes aegypti strain Liverpool supercont1.1335 genomic scaffold, whole genome shotgun sequence.